CAGUCGCCGCGGGAAAACGAAGGGGGCUAGCGUUGUUCGGAGUUACUGGGCGUAAAGCGCACGUAGGCGGAUAUUUAAGUCAGGGGUGAAAUCCCAGAGCUCAACUCUGGAACUGCCUUUGAUACUGGGUAUCUUGAGUAUGGAAGAGGUGAAUGGAAUUCCGAGUGUAGAGGUGAAAUUCGUAGAUAUUCGGAGGAACACCAGUGGCGAAGGCGGCUCACUGGUCCAUUACUGACGCUGAGGUGCGAAAGCGUGGGGAGCAAACAGGAUUAGAUACCCCAGUAGUCCCUGUCUCUUAUAC
rnacentral:rRNA from 1 species